rnacentral:lncRNA from 1 species
CCGAGACUGCGCCAUUGCACUCCAGCCUGAGCAACAAGAGCGAAACUCCAUCUCAAAAAUAAAUAAAUAAAUAAAAUAAAAAUCAAAAUCCUGGCCCAGGAUCUGGUCCCUAAGCUAAAGUCCCAUCGUGGGUGCCGGCUAGUGAGAGAAAGGGAGCAUUCGCAGCCUGGCUCACCCCAGCCCCCAGAAAGGCAGAGUCUCUCAAGCACGUGCACAUUUGGAGCUGGGUAAUUCUUUGUGGGGAUUGCUUUGUGCGUUGUCUAUUGUGCAGCAUCUCAGCACCUUCACCCGCUAGAUGACCCAUGGUGAUCCUCCCCACAUUGGGAAAACCAACAUGUCUCCAGACACUGCCAAACCAGGCCUCCACGCCUGGCUAAUUUUUGUAUUUUAGUAGAGACGGGGUUUCAGCAUGUUGACCAGCCUUGGAAUCGGCCACUGCUUUACGGUAACCUGCCCUCUUCUUUCCUCACCUCCGCGUCACAGACGCCUGGUUUCCAGCAACUCUGGUGGAUUUUGCAAUCACCAAUCUGAGGACAUCAGAGGAAAACUGAGACACCACAGGACACCUGAGUUCUCCCGCAAAACCCCUUUCCAGACUGUCACCUCCAUGAAGACCAAGGUUUCUGUUUGCAGUAAUGUGUCCUGACGUAUCUGGCAUACAGUAGGAGCUCAACAAAGAUCAGUGGCGUGAAUGGCACCUCUGAAGAGAAGAGCCCGGAGGGGAAGUUAGAGUGGAGCUGCAGAGAGUGCUUAGGAGGCUACUGCUGUUGUGAUGAUCAACUUGAUUCUUCAGCCUGGAGCCUUGAGCCUCG